CUGGACCGAGGGGACGCAGCUGAAAGGUGUGAAGAACUUCUUCCUUACUAGUCUAAAAUGAGAAUCAAAGAAGACGUGGCUUCUUUCACAAUCCAGAACUGAAAAUUUUUUCGUCUAACUAUCUGUGUUUCUUUUUUUUUUUUCGGGGUUUUUGGGGGUUAAGUUCAACAUCGAAAGGUUUUGCAGUCGCCCUUCACACGGAUCAAAUUCUUCACACGUUUUUAUUGUCUGAAUUCAGCAGGUUACGCCAAUAUGCUUAUAUGCUCUCCCAUCAGCACUUCUGCUAAGAGCUUUGUCUACCUGAGUGCUCGUGUUCAAUCACAGAUGGGUAGCAACAUCUGCACUGCAAUUUCCCGUGGACCUUCCAGUUCAUGUUGCUUCUAUGUGUACCCUGGGCAUUCAAAAGCAAGCUACAAGAGCUUCUCUGUCUCCAACACAAUAUCUUCACCACCCAUCCCUGGCCAAACAAUUCAGGGGAGAUGCUUUGGAUCUUGCUUCACCUAUCAAAGAGGAAGCUUCCGAGUUAAAUGUUUACCUGGUGUUAGAGGACCUCAGAGGGAACACAUUGAAAUUUCAUUGGCAUGCCAAAAUUUAAAUAUGAGGCUUUCUGUCCCGAAAAAAGGAAUGCUGCCCAGAAUCAAGUGCAAUGUGGGGCCAAUCGGUUGGCCACAAGGAUGUGCUUCUACUGGCUUAGUGUUUGGAUUACUGGUUUGUUAUUCAAGUUCUGAAAUGGCACGUGCUGAAGCAGCUCAAGAGGAGGAUAAGGAAGAUGACUGCAGUAAGUCUUAUGUUAAAUUCUCACAUGGGAAAAAAGUCUACACUGACUACUCUGUCAUUGGAAUACCUGGAGAUGGGAGAUGUAUGUUCCGCGCUGUUGUUCACGGGGCUUGUUUACGAUCUGGGAAGCCAGCUCCAAGUGAGAGCCUUCAGAGAGAAUUAGCAGAUGACUUGCGGGCUAGGGUUGCAGAUGAGUUUAUCAAAAGAAGGAAAGAGACGGAAUGGUUUAUUGAAGGAGAUUUUGAGUCAUAUGUUUCCGAAAUAAGGAAGCCACAUGUAUGGGGAGGUGAGCCUGAACUGUUCAUUAGUUCACAUGUUCUCCAGAUGCCAAUUAGAGUCUACAUGUACGAUGAAGAUGCUGGUGGCUUGAUAUCCAUUGCGGAGUAUGGCCAAGAGUAUGGCAAGGAAAAUCCAAUUAUGGUUCUCUACCAUGGUUUUGGUCAUUACGAUGCGUUGCGGAUUCCUGGAAAGAAGGGCGAGAGAUCGAGACUUUAGUUUGUAUAUUCUUGAUAGAAACAGGAGUGGAUGUUGUUUGAAUAAUAUCCAACAAAAGGCAUAUUCAAUCUGCAUCAUUCUCUGGAGCAGAGGAAUGAGAAUCGCAGGGAAACAGCUACCUGGUGGCUGGUGCCUGAUGGCAUGACCUGUUAGGAACAUCGUCAAUUUUGACACUGCACAAUACGACAGGCAACGAGCAGUGUGUGACAUGCAAUGCAAUCUUACUCUUUCGGAUUGAUUAUUAUUAGAUCAUCUGCUUGCGGUCCUUUUCUCUUUCGGAUUUUGAAUCUUCAAACAAAUCUCUGGAGCAUUCUCAAUCCCUUAUGUAUACAAUAACCGUAAAUAAUUUGAAGAAUUGUACAGAAAAUGAAUUACAUCCGAGUAUGUAAAAGAAAAGUUAAAAUACAAUUUGCUUCAGUAAUCCGCUAUAUAUAAUGGGUACUGAUUGCCCUUUAAAUAUUUUUUUAUUAUUUAUAAAUUUCAUUUAUUGAUUUAGUUAUUUAUUUGUUUACC